ensembl:snoRNA C06E7.95 ncRNA
GAUCGGGUCUUUGUUUCAAUUUUCAAUUGGAACGACGGGUACACCGUCGGGUUACUCUUCAUAAAGAGUCAUCAAAUUAAUAAAGAACUGUUUUCGAAACGUUACUUUCAAGCCACAUUUAGAAAUUUCAGUAAUACACAUCAGGGCUAGCGUUUUUGUUUUUUAGGGA